UUUUUCUCCUCUUUACCACCUCCUGAAAUGAGACACAACUUGUGAACUGAACUGACCUAUUCUUAGGAUGAAGAAACUGGUUCAUUGAGAUGGAGGACUUUGAUCAACUCAAGUUCUGGACUGUGAAACUUCUGGAGAGAGUUUCAAAGGAAGAAAAGGAUGACUCUAAAUCACAAGAAACACUCAUCAAUGGAGAAGAUGCUUUCUCAAAUCUCCAUAACAGCCUUACCUUGUUUACUAUGUUUUUCCUGCUUGGAGCCACAGAGGGAAAAACAGCUGCAAGCCAAUAAAAUAAAAUGGGAAGGAGUGCUUCUUAGUGAAAGAUACGGGUAUACGGGUAACUGGUUAAAUGAAUAUUGGAAGUGGAGUGAGGGUUCCAUCAGCUGUAAACACACGGGAAGGCAAGAAGCAGCUUCCUGCUGGGUAGAUGUUAAUUUAACAGGAUAUGUUGCAGAUAAAAAUAUUUUCCAGAGAUUAUUAAUUCCUAUAAAUCUACACCUACAUUUUCAAA